AGGUUUCCACGGGGCUUGCCCCGAGAGGCUCCCAGCUAGACCACUGGGUGAAUAGGCCGGAUGUGGAAGAGAGGACUAACGACUCUCGCAGCUGACCGGUACUAAUAAGCCGAUAACUUGACACA
rnacentral:rRNA from 1 species